AAUCAUUGCAUAGAUAUCGUCACGACUCUGCACAGUUCUAUCAAUUGCUCGACAGUAAUUUGUUCACCCACCGUCUACUUGCUUUCAUGAGAGAAGCCACUAGUAAACACUAGGGCCCCCGGGUCUAUUCACAUCCAUCGUUUACAUCUCCGCUUUUACUUUGCUUUGUUACUUUGUUGCUUUCAGUUCUCACUUGGCAAACAAUCUAUAAGGGAUUGACAACCCCUUCAUAGCGUUGGGUGCAAGCUUUUGUGUUUGUG
rnacentral:lncRNA from 1 species